rnacentral:rRNA from 1 species
AGUGAACGCUGGCGGUAGGCCUAACACAUGCAAGUCGAACGGCAGCACAGUAAGAGCUUGCUCUUACGGGUGGCGAGUGGCGGACGGGUGAGGAAUACAUCGGAAUCUACUUUUUCGUGGGGGUUAACGUAGGGAAACUUACUCUAAUACCGCAUACGACCUACGGGUGAAAGCAUGGGAUCUUCGGACCUUGCGCGAUUGAAUUAGCCGAUGUCGGAUUAGCUAGUUGGCGGGGUAAAGGCCCACCAAGGCGACGAUCCGUAGCUGGUCUGAGAGGAAGAUCAGGCACACUGGAACUGGAACACGGUACAGACUCCUACGGGAGGCAGCAGUGGGGAAUAUUGGACAAUGGGCGCAAGCCGGAUCCAGCCAUACCGCGUGGGUGAAGAAGGCCUUCGGGUUGUAAAGCCCUUUUGUUGGGAAAGAAAAGCAGCAGGUUAAUACCCCGCUGUUCUGACGGUACCCAAAGAAUAAGCACCGGCUAACUUCGUG